UGCCCUGAAAAGAGGAAAAAAAGAUUAAAGUACUAAUACUUAAAUAUAUAACUAAUUAAAACCAGAAAGGAAAUCUUUCCUAAGUUACAUAAUUGUCUUAAUAUAAAGUAAAAACACAGUUGUCCUAUGAUUUACAUAGGUAAGUCUACUCAUCUCAGCCCUGCAAUGAACUGGGGGCUGCCAAAGUGUUUCUGUGAAGUGCCAGACAGUGAGUAUUUUAGGCUUUGUGGGCCAAGAUGCAAAACUAAAGAUAUUAUAUAGUUAGUUACAUAAGAAGAAAAUUUUUCACAAACUUCUCUUAAUGACGUUCAAAAUAUAAUAGUAAUAACAGAGUACUUUUUUGUAAUUCAGGGAUUUUUGCGGGGAGAUAAGAUUUUCCUUAACUAGGGUUUAGAGUUAGUGUUCCCUACUUUCAAAACUAAUCACAGAGAUUUAUCUGUUAUGAAAAUCUAGAAUGAAAUUUUACAUAAUUUGUCUUUGGAAAUAUUAAGCCAGUUAUCUUUUAACUGAGUAUAUGCAUUGCUUGGGUAGAACCCUAUGAGGUUCUUCUUGGUAUUUCCUUUUGGAGCGUCAUUAACAUAAUACACUGACGGACUGCUUGCAAUUUAAGGCAGAAUUUCCUCAAGGGCACAGUUAAAUACAUUUUGAAACGUGGAAAUUUCCUUUGUACCAGCAUCAAGGUAGGAAAACACUUCAGGAACUAUAGUUUGCGGUUGGAAAAUAAACACAAGUAUAAGAAUGGAGAUCUUCCUUCUUGUUUUAACUUUUGACAGUCAGGCAUGGGAAGCAUCAGUUGACACUACUUUUCAUUGAAAUAACCUUACCACAAUGUAAGUUUCAUAUAUUAACCUGUUUUUCUUAUAAUUUCAGGCUAAAUUCAUUAAGAAACAUGACCCAGUCUGCACAAAACUUAACUUUUGAAGUUUGUUCAAUAAAAACAGCUGACAAUAAUUUUUUUAUUCAGAAAAAUUUUAAUCUCAGCCCUAAGCGCAUCCCCCCAAAUCACACAAAAAAAGUCCUAGACCACUACUAAGCUCUUAAGCUGUCAUGUAGUAGGGCAAGUUGGAAUAUUCAGCUUUUCUUUCUGACAAAUGUUCAUGGAAAUGAUAAUGUUUAAGUCCAUGAGAGUAAAUGAGGUUCACCAUCAAUAUUACCAGUUCAUUAAUACAUGACAGAUUCAAAUAUCUUCUGCAAAGUACUGCCAAUGAUACUAAUGGAUAGCCAUAGGCUAUAAACAACUUACAUUUUCACAAGCCUUGAAAAUUUAUCCACGUAAGCCUUUUUUUUUUUUUUUUGCUUCAUAUCUAUUUACCACCAGCAACACACUGAUGUUCUAUUUCUUUAAAAAAUAUUUUUGUGUGUAGUUGUUCCAAUUACAAUUGAAUUUGAUCAAUUCAAACUCACACUGACUCCUCAAAACUAAAACAAACAGUAUUGGUAACCUCUAUUCAUUCAGCAAAAGCUAAGGAAAUCCACUCACUAUCACCUGCCUUGCUUUUGAACUAUUGGGACACUGCUCUCAGUGUCUUCAGCUGCUAGAGCACUUUUCCCACCAAAAAGCUAAUCCUCCAAAGCAAACUUACUUUCCCUGGAUGCAUUUCUUUGGAUGGUGCAAACACAAGCAAUCUCAUCAAGCUGCUGGGAAGGGGCUUUCCUUCCUCAGCUAACCAAUGAGUCACAUGUCAACCUAUUGGGUUGCAAUCUCCCUUUCAUUUUUAUUUUUACAAAGAAAUUCUGCUUGUGCUUAUUCCCUUUUAAAUUUUUUAAUUUUCCUGAGAGUUAGUAAUGUUGUGAUGCGUGCUUAGUCCAGUAAUAGUUACAUAUCCCAUAUCCUUUUAGCACAGCUAUGGAGUCACUGCAUAAUAAACAUGAUGUUCUGAAGUCAAAUUUGAUAAAAUAAUCCACACUCCACCCUGCCUUAAAGUACAUCUGAAACCCACAUUUCUUUUUCUUUUCUGACCAAGUAAUACAAUAAAGAAAUCAGAUGAUGCGGUACAGUAAUACGCAAGGCAUUUGUAAUGCUAUCAAGCUGUAACUGUUACAACCUGUUCUGAUUUGUAGUGCACCAAGUAGCAGCACAAAGCAAUGAGUCAUAUACAGCCUCUGUCACUAUCACGGUUACUCAAAUCCUGGUUCUGUAGUGCACAAGGAGCCAUAUGUAAAAAAUACCCAUGACUGUGUUCCAGUAAAACUUUAUUUUUAGAUACUGAAAUUUGAAUUUCAUAUAGUUUUCAUGGGUUGUGAUACAUUGUUCCACAUGAUUUUCAGUAAAUGAAAGACUGUUUUGAAAACUGGAGGGUCGGGAGGAGGCAUUUUGGGUUUUCACAAUUACUGGGGAGAAUAAUCAGCAUUUUGUGGACAGCAGCUAGGGAAGGCAUCCCGCAAUGCAGUGAUGCUCUCACACACAAAAAUAUUGUAUGACAUCUUGCAUGACUUCCAAACACUCUAAGUGGCAUUCAUGUAGGUGAAAAACCUAUGAAUAAUGACCUGAGUCUAGGACUUAACUCCAUUUGGCAACAUGAAGUACUUUGUUGUAGUUUCAAUAUAUAUUAAAUGCCCUAGGAAAUGGAGGGAAUAUUUUACUUUUUUUGGUUUGCAGUAUCACAAAGAUUUCAGAAUCAACAGAAAUACCAUCAUGAUAUUUGAACGACCAUUACAUGUGUUUCAUUCUGCAUGUGCAAUCGAUGUAUACCUACUGAUUCUACGUGUGUGUGGCAAGUUAUCUGCCUACACCAUUACCUUACCUAAGGUACUCCUGCUCAAACAUUUGAUUUUUGAAAUAUAUAUUAUUGUUGUAAAUCGUGUUCUUUUUAUUUCUUCUUUUCAUUACAGUUGAGGAUGAUAUUAUAUCGAGGUAACAUGAGAUCUUCAAAAAGAUCAAUACUGAACUCGGUAAACAUAAUUCCGAAAAACAGGAGUGGGUUAAUAAGAUAUCCCAGAGAUAAGGGAACUAUAAAUUUUUGGAGCUUCGUAUGGUCUUUAAAUUGUCUAGAAUUCAAACUGUAUUCCAGGCUUAGGAGAUGCUGCAGGAACCACAGAAUGAGGCCAAGCGGCCAGGCUUCUGGGAAUCUCCACUAUGUUUAUGAGGACAACUGGAAUAACUGCAUCAAUUUAAAGAUAGCGAUAAACAAAACAAGCAUCUCCUGAAUUCUUCAGUGAACAGUCUGACUCAUUUCUUUUAACGGCUAUAUACCAGAGUUUAACGUAUCAGGCUAGGCAACAACUUAAAUACAACUUCAAACAAAUGAACAAAUCUUGUUUUUAAAUGUAUCUUUAACUGCUUCUGAAAGCCAGUCUUGAAACAUUUUAACAGAUACUAUGUAACUUUGCGUUGAGGCCACUAAAUUCUAAAUAUAAAACUUACUUAAAUAAGUUUUCUCAAUAAACUAUCAA